ACAAGUUUAGGAAAAAUUUCGACAGAGAUAAAAUAUUUUUUUUCUUGUAAAAAAAAGCAGUCGUGGCAACUUCUAUCCAUCAUUCGUUUUCAAAAAAGAAAACACUCGCUAAAAAAACGUUUGCACAAAGUAGCCGAGGCUGUGUUCUCUCCACGAAGAAAAUGUUCCAGAUUUCGGUUGAGAUCGACCGCAGCUGAAGAGAGUUAGAUUGGAUAGUGAAAACAAUGAUUUUUGGAGAGUUUUGGAACCGGGAACGAUGCUCGCUCGAGAGAAUCUCCUCUUCGAACGAUAUAUAAGAGGAGGCAGAUGGAAGACCUCGAAGAGCACCCAAGCCCGCAGUAGAGAAGCCCUUGUCCUACUCCGUUUGGAGCAGGCUCCUCUCCUUCGAAUCCCUUUGAGUGUAGAUAUUGCUACUCUUUAGCAGUCAAGGACACUUCUAUAUAGGGUUUCUGAAAAUGGCUUCCCAGUGCCGGCCUUCAAAAAGCAAUAGAUCUUCAACCAGAUAUUGGUGGGUUCCAAUGGAAGUGCAAUCCUUUGAGCCAAAUACAUUUUUUCCUCAAGGAGGAUGUCUCUAUUUCUCGUGCAAAAAGCAAUGCACAAUCUGAAACCAAAGCUCCUAGCAACAGAGUAAGUACAGCGAAGUUUAUAUCAGCAGUUGCAGGGAUCUGGGAUUAUGUUGGUCAGCCAGCAAUUUUUCAUACCAAUGGAAGCUUGAAAUACCACGACAUUUGUCAGAAGGAUAAUCAUAUAUGCUAUUCUGAUGGCCAAACAAAGCAUAAAUCUAAAUCUGCCAAUGGAGAAAAUUUUUGCAAUAAUCUCACAUCCAGUAGCUGUUUCUCAUCAUCUGCAAAGUCAAACUUUGAAGUUCUGAAAACAAUCAAGAAAAGGUUAUUGUUUGCUUCAUGCAAUAGGAAUGUCAUUAAUUCUUUCAUCUGUAAAAAUGUCCAGGUCGGUGAUUCUCAUUUGCCUGUAGACUCUUAUGGAAUCGAUAAGGUGGCAAGCCAAGAGGUUCCAAUGAUCUGGCACACGCAUAUGAAAGUACAAUUAGGGAGAAAUUUCUGACCAAACCCACUAGCAAUGGAUCGGAUGGAACAGAUGAUAACUGCACCAUUGCAGAAAGAAAUUCUUUGGCUGACUUAUCUGCUAAUCAGAGUGAAGGAGGUAUUGUCGCAACUGAAUGUGAAGAUGUUUCUAGUGGUAAUGUUGUGAAUUUAGUAGAAAAAGUUCUACAAACUCAUGGUUCUCAUUAUUCAACUUAUACAUUUCAACCAUUGAAAACUUCGAAAGAGGCAAUCAUUGUUUUAAGAAAUCCAAGUUCUGGUCUUCACUUCGACUGUAACAUGGAUCUUUUAAGUUCAACUGAUUGCACACUUGGACGGUGCCAACAAGAAACAGACUCCUUAUGUGCAGUCAUUGAAUCCUCAGGCGAAAUUUCUGCUUCCGAGGAUUGUAAUGUUCAUGAUAAUAGUACAAAAUUACAUGACAAGCUUGUUCA